GCUUCGCACAUCGUUUCGUACCCUUCUUUUGCCUUUGUGUUUGGGCUAACGUAUCGACUAAGAUUCGAUGAGACAACCCUCACAAAUGCGACAAAACCCAAAUCAUCCGUCACCGAUCAAAUAUCACGAUUGGAUCGACAGAUUUAGCGGCCAGGAUUUUUUUGGAAGAAUUUCCUUUAGUUCAUUGAUCAGCGUAGAAACCAGACCCAGAGACAGGAGUCGGUCUUUGACUCCUUUUCUUUCAUAGCAAGUCAUUCCCAAGCAGAAGCCUUUCCUUUCUCAACCUUCUCUCUUUCUUUCAUCAAAUCAAUAAAAACCAUCAAAUUUUAAUCCAAACCCAUAUCGCAACAAAUCCAAUCUAAGAUCUGUCACUUAAAGAUAUAAUCUUUUUUUUGUUCCCUCUAUCAAAACUUCACAAUUAGCUUCUUUUUUUCUUGUUAAUAUUGCCAAUUUGGUCUAAUAAUUUUUUUUUUUUAUAGUUUUUUUCCUUUUCAAUCAGAGAUCAGUAACUCCCUUUCAAUCUCCAUCAAUAUGGCCACAAAAAAUCUUUUGUACACAAACCCAAAACUUUGCCAGCAUCUUGCUGAUUACAAGCUUAGACAAGGCUUGAGUGGCUAUAAAUCUCUCCAAAAUUGCCUCAAAACUACUCCAAAUGGAAGAACCAGUAUUUAUAAGUGGGAUACAGAGAUACCCAGAUGCUGUUUUUGUAAUGGGUAUCAAGGUAGACUCUUUCUGUGUUUGAUUUGCUCGUCAAUCUCAUGUUCAAGCCACGCCCUUUUGCAUGCUCAAUCAGAGGAUGGUCAUGAUGUAGUUGUUGACAUUGAAAGAUCGGAGCUUUAUUGCUGUUUGUGCAGUGAUCAGGUCUAUGAUCCUGAUUUUGAUAAGGUUGUCGUUUCCAAAAACAUGAUGGAUAUGCCAAAUAAUACAUAUACAGUUGAUGAUGGUAUAAGGAGAUCAAGCAAGAGGAGGAAGGUGAAUUCAUUGAUGGAUUUGGAUUUUAGAAAGUCUAAACGGCUGGUUUCGAUGAGGGAUCGAAGGGAAAAAUCGUGUUAUCCAUUGGGAUUGAGAGGAUUGAACAAUUUGGGCAGUACUUGCUUCAUGAAUUCUGUGUUGCAAGCAUUGCUUCAUGCACCCCCUUUCAGGAAUUACUUCUUGAGUGGUCGACAUGACCGUGAAACUUGUAAGAAGAGAUCAGCAGAUCGAUUAUGUUUGGCUUGCAAUAUUGAUGUUAUUUUCUCUGCUGUGUAUUCUGGGGAUCGAACACCUUACAGCCCUGCUCAGGUUCUUUACAGUUGGUGGCAGCAUUCAGCAAAGCUAAAUCUAGCUAGUUACGAACAGCAGGAUGCUCAUGAAUUCUUCAUUUCAGUUUUAGAUGGUAUCCAUGAGAGAGAAGGAAAUGGAAGAACCCCAACUAAAGAUAAUGGAGAUUGUCAGUGUAUUGCUCAUAGGGUUUUCUCAGGUUUGUUGAGAUCAGAUGUCACUUGCAUGGCCUGUGGGUCUACUUCCACUACUUACGAUCCUUGUCUUGACAUUUCACUCAACAUGGAUACAAGUAAUUUUUCUUCAAUAGAUGUGGCUAAUAAGUCUGUUACACCAAAGGAGAAUUCAGGGAUAUGUACUCUUUCGGCCUGUUUGGAUUUGUUUUCAAGGCCAGAGAAGUUGGGAUCAGACCAGAAACUUUACUGCCAAAAUUGUCAAGAAAAACAGGACUCAUUUAAGCAAAUGUCAAUUAGCAGACUGCCAUUGGUGUUGUCUUUGCAUAUCAAACGAUUUGAGCACUCUGUAGUUAGAAGGAUGGCAAGAAAAAUUGAUUGGCAUUUGCAGUUUCCAUUCUCCUUAGAUAUGACCUCAUAUUUGUCAUCCUCAAUUGUCAGAAACAGACUUGGGAAUAGGAUUUUCACCUUUGAAAACAAUGAAGCAGAUACCUCUGCAGAAUUUGAGAUUUUUGCUGUGAUCACUCAUUCAGGGAUGCUGGAAUCAGGACACUACGUGACUUAUCUUCGCCUGAGAAACCAGUGGUACAAAUGUGAUGAUGCAUGGAUUACUGAGGUUGAUGAAGCAACAGUGAGAGCUUCGCAGUGUUAUAUGAUUUUCUAUGCGCAGAAAAUGCUUUACUACAAAGCAAACGACGGUUUGAGUUGCAUGCCAUUGUCCCCUAUGAGGGAUCCAUUUUUCCCCAUUGCUGGUUGUUGCUGAAGGGAGUGCUUCGACUGUUAUUGUGGGCUGGCAAUUGGCAGAAUCAGAAAUUACUGCUAAUUACCUUCAAGUUCAGCUGCAUACAUAUUGAGACAAGGAACAGAAGUUUCUGAUGUGGAGUGUGCUUUCAGAAUCAAAUCACUCAGCCAAGAUGAAAUCACAUUUGACUGCAGCAAUCAAGGUUGAAUAGUGGAAGAAAUCAAAUUGCAACAAAUUAAGUUGUGGAUCCAUUCGAAAGAGAUGAGAUGCCAAGUUCAGUUACCUUCAAAUGUAUUUUAAUGGGGUAUAUGACAAUUAGCUCUGGGAGAGAGUGCCAAAAAGAAGCUACUUCUUUAGAUGGGUCUGUUCCGGCUCUGGUUUUGCAUGAUAUUUUGGUGGGAAUUCUUCGACUGCAGUUGCCCAGACUGUCACCAAGAAAAGGAAGCUGCAUUUAUAAGCAGACAGAGAUGCCACCCAAGCUGGAGGAAUUUUGGUUCAGCAGUUUAGGAGGAUUGGGACGGAACCAGUCUGUAGGAUCCCCAGUUCCAGUUUCAUUUUUAUCAAAUCUAACUGUCAUUUUUUUUUUUCUCUCUUUUUCAAAGGGAAAAAAAUUCGUUUUUGAUCCAGAAACAGACCAAACGGUUCUAGUCCAGUUCGAAUCAGACCGAUUGAGUUUGAUUCUGGGACCGUGGCCCGGUGUAGUUAUAGGUGAUACAAUAGGAAGCUUUGUGUCAUUAAAUAAUGAACGUUCAAGGACAGAGUGGACUGCAGCCAUGGACCAGUAUUGCACUGAGCUUAUGCGGGACCAAAUAGUAGAAGGCAAUAAAGCUGAUAACACAUAUACCCAACAAGUUUGGUCUGAUGUGCUUGCAUCCUUCAAUGCAAAUUCGUUCCUCAACAUGGCAAGAGGGUUUUAAGACAUGGAUAGUACUGUAGUGAAAGAAGGUUCUACUUGAGCAAAAUGGUUUUACCUGGGAUGAAACUGAACAUAUGAUUAUAGCUGAAAAUGAUGUUUAGGAUACUUAUAUUAAGGUGAUUCAAGCAUGGAUCCUUUGACAAUGGACUGGCAGCCAGCAAUAUAUUUUAUUGAACUUGUGUUAGAGCAGGUGAAUAGAGGGAAUAAGAUUGGUAACACAUUCAAUGAGCAAGCAUGGAUUCACAUCAAGCUUGUACGUGCAUACCACAAUUAAAUGAUCAUGUGUUGUGCCUUCUUGAUUAGAAUUUAAACAUUUUCUUUUAAUGAAUCGAGUUGUGGGUUUGAACUUUGAAUUUCGUAUAUAUUUUAUUAUUUUAUUUUAU